CAGCCGCCGCGGUAAUACGAAGGGGGCGAGCGUUGUCCGGAAUUAUUGGGCGUAAAGCGCGUGUAGGCGGCUCAGCAAGUCCGCUCUGAAAGCCCAGGGCUCAACCCUGGGAUGCGGGUGGAUACUGCUGAGCUCGAGUCCGGAAGAGGCGAGUGGAAUUCCUGGUGUAGCGGUGAAAUGCGCAGAUAUCAGGGGGAACACCAAUGGCGAAGGCAGCUCGCUGGGACGUGACUGACGCUGAGACGCGAAAGCGUGGGGAGCAAACAGGAUUAGAUACCCCCGUAGUCCCUGUCUCUUAUAC
rnacentral:rRNA from 1 species